rnacentral:rRNA from 1 species
GAUCAUGGCUCAGGAUGAACGCUAGCUACAGGCUUAACACAUGCAAGUCGAGGGGCAGCAUGUUGGUUGCUUGCAACCAAUGAUGGCGACCGGCGCACGGGUGAGUAACGCGUAUCCAACCUACCCUUGUCCAUCGGAUAACCCGUCGAAAGGCGGCCUAACACGAUAUGCGGUUCACAGCAGGCAUCUAACGUGAACGAAAUGUAAAGGAGAAGGAGUGGGGUGCGUCUGAUUAG